AGACCGUGAUGAGGACACUUUCACAAUAGCUCCUUGAACCUUUCCCAAGUUUCAUAAAAGGAUUCCCAUCCUCUUGUGAAUAUGUAUUAAUUUCAGUCAUUAGUUU
rnacentral:snoRNA from 1 species